AUACAGAGGGUGCGAGCGUUAAUCGGAAUUACUGGGCGUAAAGCGCGCGUAGGCGGCUUAUUAAGUCAGAUGUGAAAUCCCCGGGCUCAACCUGGGAACUGCAUCUGAUACUGGUAAGCUAGAGUUUUGGAGAGGGAAGUAGAAUUACAGGUGUAGCGGUGAAAUGCAUAGAGAUCUGAAGGAAUACCAGUGGCGAAGGCGACUUCCUGGCCAAAAACUGACGCUGAGGUGCGAAAGCGUGGGUAGCAAACGGGAUUAGAAACCCCUGUAGUCC
rnacentral:rRNA from 1 species